AUGCACUGUGACUUCUAUAAUCCCAGCUCUGGGGAGGUGGAGAUCAGAGGCCACCUCUCCAGAUACUCAGUGGCCAGCCAGCUUAGUCUGGUGUGCUACAGUUUUACUGAGAGAGCUUGUCUUUUGAAACAAAAAGGACAGCUACUGAGGAAUAUCUGAGGUUGGUCUCUGACCUCUUUAAACAUUACACACACACACACACACACACAGAGAGAGAGAGAGAGAGAGAGAGAGAGAGAGAGAGAGAGAGAGAGAGAGUGUGUUCUGAAUAGUUCUGAAUUAGCAUUUAGAUAAAUCCUAAUGGCUAUAGCAACAGUGGCCCUGGACAGGCUCCUGGGCCUGACUGAGCCAGCCAGGGGUAGCAGAGAAGCAGCAAGCAGAUGAAGGGGUAACUAAACCAUUGGUACUUGCCCAUUGGCAGAGCUGGACACUGAUGCUGACAGCCUGCUCUAUGGUUCUUAGUAGCAGGCAAGCUGUUCCUCAGGCAACUCCAGGCAGGUGUGCAGAGCGAGGGGGAUCUGGGAUGUCAAUGCAAGCUGUUCUUGCUGCCCCUGAUCUGCUUCCACACUGGCAUUUAUUUACAGAGCUGGAUGGUACCCAUGAUGGGGACAGGCCCAGAGACACACCUCUUAGCUGUGGCUGCUUCCUUUCUCAAGUCUUGACACACUGCUGGUCUGGUAGAGUCAGGAGUCCCCAGCACCAGGGUCCUGGGCCUGAUGUGCCCAGGAUGGCUUCUGAUCUCUCUGCAGCCAGCUGUGGCCUCAUCCAUAGGGCUGCCCAGACAUACACUUGGCUUUGUUCCUUGGCAAGACUUUCACUCCCAGUCUAUCCCUGGAGGGCUGGCUCCAUUCAAGAAUGUAGUCACUCUGUAGUUAGAGAACUAGAAAAGUGGCCCGUGCUGCCCUGGGCUGCCCUUUGUCCUGCCUCACCUGGACUAUCACCUGCUGGGAACUGAUGGUGGGGUCUGUGGGAACCUGAUUCCCUCCUGUGGUUCCUGCUUCUGUUCCUAAUGGACCCUCCAGUCAAAAGUCCCUUCAGUGACCCCUGGGUAUGGCAGCCAGCCCUGCCUUGCCUCCAGGUUCUAAGUAGAAUUCUGCCAGUGUGGCUUGCAGAAUCUAAACCCAAGGGUCACACUCUCCUCCCACUGCAGGGCUCCCACCCCUCUUACAGUAGAGAGCUUUCUGCCCUUGAGAUUGCUGCCAGUUUAGGGACUCAAGGUGGCUUUUACAUGAUUGGAGGGUGGGCAGAGGUGGGGUGACAGAAACGUAAAGAUGUGACUACUGCUAGUCCCCUCUGCCCAUGAGUGGGGCAGGGACAGAGGCUCAUCAGGAAUAGGACAUCGUAGGUAGCUCUGUUUCUGGUCUUGAGCCAGUAUGCAUGUUUCCCGUCAAGCUGGCUUUCCUCUUAAAUGGGCUUAGGGGUGUGGCUUGGCAUUCACAGGCACUGAGUGUGAGUCUUACCAGCACACAAAAUCAUUCACUAGCCACCUGAAGGUCAGGUGCACCUACCAGCCACCUUUGGCCAGAGGAAUGUGUGAGGUGUGGGGGGUGGAUUCCUGGAAAGUAGUAUACUCUGAGCUGCUGGGGCAUGAAGGUGGAGACUCAGUUCUGCUGAAUGACUGGGACCACAAAGGGAAGGGCAGUGGCUUCUGGGGAGUCCUGAAGUUAGUCACUGCUGGCCAUUGUAUAAGCUCUGAUGUGCACAGACUGAAGACAGCUGUGUCUGGUAGGUCUGGUGUCUUCCAUGCUAAGGCCAGAAAAUGAGGUGGCCCAGGGAUAGCUCUGCCCUGUUAGGGCUUGGUUCUGCCAUUGCCAACUCCAGUCUCCAUGUGGCCACUACAAAGGAGAGGAUGCUCUGAUAGGAGGGAGAGGCUCUGGGGGUGGGCUGGGGUGUGGAUGGCAGCUUUCCUGGGGCUCCCCUGACAGGUCACCCACUGUGUUCCUCCUUUGUUUGGUAGAUUCACUACCUUAAUAGCUCCAACUUCCUUAGUGGAAAGAAGGGGUGCAUAUGGCCUCCUGUCUCUAAUCAGGUGCUUGCACUCAUCAUCUGAUCCUCUGGAGGGUGAGAUCUUUGUGAGCAUGUGCAAGCCUAAGAUCUGGUUUGAGCUCCUAAGGUCAAGACCAGCCUGGAUGGCAGAGUGAGACCAGAAUGAGCAAGAACUACUAAAGCUCCUGGAUGGACCCUAGGGAUAAGAUAUCCCAGUGUGUUUAUCUAUUUCUCCUGAGCACCAGAUGUCCAAGCUUUUCCCUUUUCUUCUUUUACUCAUCUUCCCACCAUCCAAUUGUCUACUCUCUGCCCCCGCUAUCCCACUUGCUUGCUUAUACUUAACUGGAUUUCUCCACUUUUACACAGUUCAGAAUAGUCCUGCCCACAGUGGGCUGGGUCUUCUUAUAUCAAUUAACUCAAUACAGUUCCCAAAGACAUGUUCAUAGUUCAAUCCAAUGUAGACAAUCCCUCACCAAUACUACUCCCAGGUGAAUUUAAGUUGGGUCUGUAGAAUAAAAGGUCUAAGAUCACUUCUGGGUUUGAAAAUUUACCAAAACCCACCAGUCCCUGAGCCAGAAAGCCCACCAAUUCCUGGGCUCUCCACUAGCUCAGGACACCACCUCCACCUUGGAAAUCUACCCUAAAAAACUGUUCAAGAAACCCUAUAUAAGCCGGGCAUGAUGGCACACGCCUUUAGUCCCAGCACUCGGGAGGCAGAGGCAGGCAGAUUUCUGAGUUCGAGGCCAGCCUGGUCUACAAAGUGAGUUCCAGGACAGCCAGGGCUAUACAGAGAAACCCUGUCUUGAAAAACCAAAAAAAAAAAAAAAAAAAAAAAAAAAAAAAAAAAAAAAAAGAAAGAAAGAAAGAAAGAAACCCUAUUUAAGCCUGCUUCCCGCUUAAUUUUCUGCUGCUUCUCUCCAAAGCAGAGGCAGUACCCUCCAGUGUCUUGCCCAAUAAAUCUCUUGUGUGAGGUUUGUUGUGUGACUUUGUGGUAUUCCUUGGCUCUCGACUGUCAGGAUACCUUUCCCCUCAGAGCUGUAACAUUUACAGGAUCAAGUUGACAGUUAAAUCUAACCAUCACACCCCAUCCCUUGUCAACUGGACACCUAAACACAUCACUUUCAAACUAUAACCUUCUAUCUUUUGUACCCAGAUCUCAUGCUUAUCUCAAAAUGAAGUCCAUUUAAAAAAAAAAAAGUCUUAAAAAAUUUCAAAAUUUUAAGAGUCCAAAGUCUUUUAAAUGAGAUCUUCUAUAAAAUUAAAAACAAUGUACAUAUUUUCAUCAUAUAAAUGGAGAGAGCAGACAUUCUUAUUCCAAAAGGGAAGGACCAGGACACGACAGGGAAAAGCCAGAUUGAGCUGAUCUUUGGGUGGUAUAGCUUACACAUGUCCUAUAACCGUGACAGACCAUGGUUUGGAUGACAAAUGUCCUCUAUAGGUUCAGGUUCGGGACACUUGGUUCCCAGUUGGUGGCGCUGUUUGGGGGGUGUAGCCCUGGAGGAAGUGUGUCACUGGCAGUUGGCCUUGAGGUUAUAAAGCCCCACUCUCGUUUCCAGUUCACUCUCUGCUUUGUGCUUGUGUUGAAGACAUGAGCUCAGCUCUCUGCUCCAGCCACCAUGCCUACUGCCUGCUGACCUGCCGUUCACCAUGAUGGACCCCACCCUUCUAGAACUGUAAGCCAAAAUAAAACAUUCCUUCUAUAAGUUGCUUUGGCUAUGGUGCUUCAUCAUAGCAACAGAAAAGUAACUCAGACAAAACCCAUUCAUUUCACUAAGCUGGCCUUGGAUUCUUUGUCCUGUCUGUGCUUUCCAUACUGGGGAUGAGUGUGCUCUUUUGUUUCUCCCUAGGAAGGCAAUGCAGCAUAGGGAAGGGUCGUGUCCUCGUCAGAUGACUCUGGAACAUUCUGGUGGUCCUGAAUGCUGGGACUAUACCAAUUGAUUCAUAACUCCAGCUUGUGGUACCCCACAAGCUACUUUGCAAAGAUAUAAUUUGUUACGUGUCUUUUCUGAUCCUCUAGCCUUAAGACACAGUAGUCAACAUCUCCACACCCCCGCCCCACCCCGACCCCUUUCCUGCUGGGUCAGAAUCUAGUGUGGAGGACAGUGUUCACACACCUCUCCUCUUCAUGAUCCCUCCUGACACAAGAGGCAAUGCCUUUGGCUGACGACUCAGCCUUAGUUGCAUGUCCCAUCAUCUAAACUCACAGUCCUGUCCUGUCUGAGUCACUUCACAGGUCACAAUUUAUUCUCCAGUCUGCCAGCUGCUCAGGGGCUUCUCUGUACUCAUGUGGCAGACUCCAUUCAUGAAGGAGGUGUGCCAUUCUGUGUGGUGACACAGAGGAAGACAGCUACCCUGCUCCUCACCCCCGGACACUUCAACACUUCACCUUGUGAUGACAGCUAGGGAUGUGUAGCCACAUCCACAGGAAGAAGGCAUUGAAUGGAACAUGAACAAAGACGGCCGUGUCAUGAUUGGCCUGUGGACACUCCAUCCUUAGCUUAACUUCAGUUGUAUCUCGUCACCCAGGGCACGCACAAUGCCCAUGUGCCUUCAGAGAGCAUCUCUGUUUUAUUGUUUGGUCCCUGUGUAAGCACCAACUGUUGCAGUAACUUUCCUGAGAGAUGUGAACGAAUGUCUGUUCACCCUAGACAGUGUGGAUAAUGGAUGAAGUCCUGAGUGAAUGUGUAUUAUUAUCAUGAGCACAGCCACGUCAAGGACCUCAGUGCCUCAGACCCAUUGGAAGGGUAAGACCUUUCCUGGGCCAGGCUUAGGAUUAGCAAAGCAACGUCCUGUGUGUGGGUGUUGACAAUGUGUGUGGAAACCAUACAUCAACCAUAGCGUCCUCCUCCUGGAUGAUAGACACCCGACAGUGUCUGCUACAGAGACCCAGGACUGAGGUUAGCUAGCCCUCCUCCUCAUUCAGGCCAUAUACAGAAAACAUGCCGUUUCCCAGCUAUUGCUGGAUCAUCUCCUUCAGCUCAUAUGACCCACCCAAUCUCUCUCUCUCCCUCUCUCUCUCCCUCCCUACCUUCUUCCCUUUCUCCCUCUCUCCCUCCUUCACUCCCCUCUCUCUGUCUAUCUGUCUCUCUUUGUUGUUGUGUGAAGGUCAAUCCCAAGCCAUGAAGGCCAUAGCAAGAUGGGAGGCCAACCACAGAUCAAAGAAACAGUCCACCCAAGCUCAGCUUGAAUGCACCUCCUGUCAGAUGUUCUCGAGCCUGCCUUCCUGCCCAUGGCUGAAGACUGGCAGGGCAACAGUCUCCAUGUGCCUGCUGUAAACAAACCAGGCUUGUCUCUCACGCUCUCAGCUUCUGUUGUCUCCUUCCCCUUAAUGAAGAGGAGCAGCUACACGGUCCAGUCCUCUAUUUGAAGGUCAGGGUCCCUGUGUAUGGCAAUCUUGACCACAGACAGGUAAGGAAGUUAGGGUGGUCUGUUUCUGAUUCCAGCCUUCUUCUCUUCUCUAUAAACUUUGUGU